GAGAAAGACAGAAAAGAAUAAGUUCUGCUAAAACUUAUUACCCAUGGUUAAAUUCCGUGGCUUCCUCG
rnacentral:tRNA from 1 species